CCUACGGGAGACAGCAGUGAGGAAUAUUGGUCAAUGGCCGAGAGGCUGAACCAGCCAAGUCGCGUGAGGGAAGAAUGUCCUAUGGAUUGUAAACUUCUUUUGUCAGGGAGCAAAGUCACCCACGUGUGGGUGUUGGAGAGUACCUGAAGAAAAAGCAUCGGCUAACUCCGUGCCAGCAGCCGCGGUAAUACGGAGGAUGCGAGCGUUAUCCGGAUUUAUUGGGUUUAAAGGGUGCGUAGGCGGGUUAUCAAGUCAGCGGUAAAAUCGUGGAGCUCAACUCCAUCCAGCCGUUGAAACUGAUGGUCUUGAGUGGGCGAGAAGUAUGCGGAAUGCGUGGUGUAGCGGUGAAAUGCAUAGAUAUCACGCAGAACUCCGAUUGCGAAGGCAGCAUACCGGCGCCCGACUGACGCUGAGGCACGAAAGCGUGGGUAUCAAACAGGAUUAGAUACCCGUGUAGUC
rnacentral:rRNA from 1 species